rnacentral:rRNA from 1 species
AUGCAGUCGAGGGGCAGCACAUGCGUUAGCAAUACAAUGGUGGCGACCGGCGCACGGGUGAGUAACACGUAUGCAACCUACCUGUAAGAGGGGAAUAACCCGGAGAAAUUCGGACUAAUACCGCAUAAUACUGAUUAUCUGCAUGGAUUGAUCAGUUAAACAUUUAUGGCUUACAGAUGGGCAUGCGUAUGAUUAGAUAGUUGGUAGGGUAACGGCCUACCAAGUCAACGAUCAUUAGGGGUUCUGAGAGGAAGGUCCCCCACACUGGUACUGAGACACGGACCAGACUCCUACGGGAGGCAGCAGUGAGGAAUAUUGGUCAAUGGGCGAGAGCCUGAACCAGCCAAGUCGCGUGAAGGAAGAAGGUUCUAUGGAUUGUAAACUUCUUUUGUAAGGGAAUAAAAAGAGUUACGUGUAACUUAUUGUAUGUACUUUACGAAUAAGGAUCGGCUAACUCCGUGCCAGCAGCCGCGGUAAUACGGAGGAUUCCAAGCGUUAUCCGGAUUUAUUGGGUUUAAAGGGUGCGUAGGCGGACCCUUAAGUCAGUGGUGAAAAGUUUGCAGCUCAACUGUAAAAUUGCCAUUGAAACUGAGGGUCUUGAGUGUAAAUAAGGUAGGCGGAAUGUGUUGUGUAGCGGUGAAAUGCUUAGAUAUAACACAGAACACCAAUUGCGAAGGCAGCUUACUGGGAUACAACUGACGCUGAGGCACGAAAGCGUGGGGAUCAAACAGGAUUAGAUACCCUG